CGUGAUUUCGUGCCCUAGCGAUUCAUCUUCUUACCAAUUCGAUGAGACCCACUUUGUUUUUUUUUUUGGUUUUAUUGAAAUAUGUUUAGUUUGAGUUUGAAUCAAGACCCCCGUUCGUGUUUUGUGUCAUAGCUUCUUUCGCCCAAACUGUGAAGAGCGUUAGGCUUCUCUUAACCUUUCGUUGUUUGCUCAAAUCAUGUUUUUUUUUCCUCAUGUUCACCUGAUUGGUUUGAUUUUAUAUUCGACUUUACUCUCUUCUGGUGUACUGCUGUGUUAUUACUGCUCACUCUCGGACUCUUUGUGGUGUGAGAUUAGACAUUUCAGAGUUAUUGUUGUUUGUCUCAUGUGUACCACAUUGCAGAGGUUAUCAAUGUGUAUCAUAUUUAAUAUCUAAGUUGGUGAAAGUAUGACCCUUUUUGUGAAUAUAAGUUUUGAGUCCUCUCCUUGAUGAGCUAAUGACAUUGGAAGUGGUACGCAUUAGGGUUUAGAGAUAGAGAUUCACCGUAAUUUUUUCAACAUAUGUUUUUUUUUUCUAACUAAAGUGGUUGUUGUAUGAAUGUCAGUAGCUUUUAAUAUGUAAGAUCAUAUGAAAAAAUGGAUACUUUCUUCGUAAGUGUAGUGCAAGUACUGUGGUGUGGCGUCAUGUUCAUGGGACCUAGCUAAGCUGUUGAGAAGAACUACGAGCUACCUGAUGGGCAAGUGAUGACAAUUGGUUCUGAGCGGUUCCAUUGUCCUGAGGACCAAAACAUCAGAAAGGAUGUGUACGGUAUAACAUCGUGACCAGUGGUGGAAGCACAUUUUCUCUGAGAUCGCUAACAAUUUGAGCUAAGAUAUCACGUCUUGGUCUACAAGCAGCAUGAAGAUCAUAGUUGCUACUUCUCCUGAGAGAAAAUACCAUGUCUUGAUUAGAGGGUCCAUCUUGGCUUCACUCUGUACAUGGUGAUCAGUGGUGGAAGCAUAUUUUCCCUGGGAUCGCAAUGGAAUAAGUCAGGCCCAUCCAUUAUUCUCAGGAAAUGCUUCUUAUUGGAGUUCUCAUUUUUUUCAGAAAAGAAGCGUUAAUCUACCCUUCUUUUUUUUUUUUUGUUCUUAUGUAUUUUGAAAUUCUGGCCAAAGACAUUUUUAAAGAUUUAUGUUCUUUUUAUUUUCAGCUGCCUGUGAGUGAAUAAUAACACAUAACUAUUAUAUAGCAUUGUGUUUCAUGUUCUCUUUGUUUUGUUUUUUUCUACGUUUGUAAACUUCUAUCAGUUCAAAUGGUGAACUAUAGAUACAAUACAUGAUUAAAGAGAAACCAACACGUACCAUAAAAGCGAAGUUAGGGAACCCAAAAGUCUAAUUAAUGUUGGAGUUAUUAAAUCAUACAAUCAGCC